AUGACAGGAUUACCUCUGGUUUGGAGUCAAGCUCAUCAGAAAGCAUGGGUCACCCUGUGUGGAACCUGUAGGAUAAUACGCUGAUCCAUUAAACGCACCCAGGGCUGCAGACCUGAUUGGCAGGGUACAGCGGCAUGGGACACACCUGGGCCCGGUAUGCCCCAUGCGUAUAGAAGCCAGAGCAGCAGUUAGUCUGGGGUUGGACCUCCUUCAUCUCACAGUUUCCGUUGUUUUGUUUUUGGUUUCUUGUCUUUGUUUUUACAGCACAACAUCCAUGCAGCACAUUUUCACUCAUCCACUCCCUACACUACUGACUUUACAGAUUCUUCCCAUUCAUUGGUUUCGCUUAUUUUCUUAUUAAUAAAUCACUUUGUUAUUUA